AUUGAACGCUGGCGGCAUGCUUUACACAUGCAAGUCGCACGGUAACAGGGUGCUUGCACCGCUGACGAGUGGCGAACGGGUGAGUAAUGCGUCGGAACGUGCCGAGUAGUGGGGGAUAACGCAGCGAAAGUUGUGCUAAUACCGCAUACGUACUGAGGUAGAAAGUGGGGGACCUUCGGGCCUCACGCUAUUCGAGCGGCCGACGUCUGAUUAGCUAGUAGGGGAGGUAAAGGCUCACCUAGGCGACGAUCAGUAGCGGGUCUGAGAGGAUGAUCCGCAACACUGGGACUGAGACACGGCCCAGACUCCUACGGGAGGCAGCAGUGGGGAAUUUUGGACAAUGGGCGAAAGCCUGAUCCAGCCAUGCCGCGUGUCUGAAGAAGGCCUUCGGGUUGUAAAGGACUUUUGUCGGGGAGGAAAUCCCCAGCGUUAAUACCGCUGGGGGAUGACAGUACCUGAAGAAUAAGCACCGGCUAACUACGUGCCAGCAGCCGCCGUAACAC
rnacentral:rRNA from 1 species